rnacentral:piRNA from 1 species
GUGGAUGCAGAACCCAUGAGUACAGAGC